CAACUGUCCCCACUGUGGCUCCUGUGCUCUCCAAAUACAUGGACAUCCUGAUUGGCUGAGGAAACAGAGGCUCUGUCUUACUAUCUGCGCUCUGGUCACUCUCCUUGUGAAUAAAACAACUGUUUAAGGAAUCCCUCUUCGGGGACACAUCCUUGCCUCAGAAUGUGGGAGGAUACCAGAGAGAACACUGUUUAUAUUUUUGAAGGUCCACUCUACUGGAGAAGGCCCAAUAGCAGGAGUGUCGGGUGGCUGAGCACAUUGCAUCCAGAGACAAAGCAGAGAGAUGAACAUUCAGAUGGGUUUCAUCUUUCUCCUUUACAGACACUUGGGAGUAUCCGUCUGUAUUAUUGCUCCACAUUCAAGUUUCAUGAACCAUCGGGCCCCAGCUAAUGGCCGCUACAAACCAACGUGCUACGAACAUGCUGCCAAUUGCUACACACACGCAUUCCUCAUUGUUCCGGCCAUUGUGGGCAGUGCCCUCCUCCAUCGGCUGUCUGAUGACUGCUGGGAGAAGAUAACAGCAUGGAUCUACGGGAUGGGCCUUUGCGCCCUCUUCAUAGUCUCCACAGUGUUUCACAUAGUAUCAUGGAAGAAGAGCCACUUGAGAACAGUGGAGCAUUGUUUCCACAUGUGCGAUCGGAUGGUCAUCUACUUCUUCAUUGCUGCUUCCUACGCCCCAUGGUUAAAUCUCCGUGAACUUGGACCCCUGGCAUCUCAUAUGCGUUGGUUUAUCUGGCUCAUGGCAGCUGGAGGAACCAUUUAUGUAUUUCUCUACCAUGAAAAGUAUAAAGUGGUUGAACUUUUCUUCUAUCUCACGAUGGGAUUUUCUCCAGCCUUGGUGGUGACAUCAAUG
rnacentral:lncRNA from 1 species